CUGCCUAUGAUGUACAGGAACAAGAAGAUGGCUUGCGAGUACUGAGCGACGGUGUUGGACCAGGCAGAUCCCCUGCAGAGGAAGCGAGAAAGGCGCCGCGUUGUCCGCCUCCCCGGGACACGGGGGUGCCACUCACGUGAUGCCGAAGUGGAACACGUAGAGGAAGAUGCAGUUUGCCACCACGUUGACGACGUUGCCGAUGACCCCGCUCAGCACCAGCGGCCACAUGAUCAUCUGCAGAGAAGAGGAGACGGGGCCACAGCGCCUUCACAAAGGCUCCGGGAGGGAGGUGAGAAGGUCCCCACCAGCCCCCCACCCCGGGCUCAGCGCCUUUCCCAGACAAAAAAUAAACUUCCAGUGGUGUUGCCUGCUUGGGAAAUGAAUGUGUUGGAGUGUCACUGGGGUGGGGGGGAGUUCAUGCCUGGCACCGGGAAUGCUUACAGCGAUGGCCAGCGUGACGGAGGCCAGCUCAACCUUGCCCAGGUGACCACAGAAUAUGGAGCUAACAAGGUGUAUCAGGAAGAUCAGCAGCUGGAUCAGGAUCUAAGCACAGAGGAGAGGAGAGGCGAAGCUCCCGGGUGGGAGGUUGUCCUGGCCAGAGGCCACUGCCUCACCGUUCUCCUCGGGGAGGUUCUCUGUCUUCGUGCUGCCAUUCUCCCCAGGAAGGUUCUCCGGCUUCAUGCUG